CCCUUUAUGUACAUAUUGUAUUUAUGUACUUAUUUUGUGUCAGCACUAGGAAAGUGUUUAUUUAAAAUGUGUCUGAAUAAUCCUAUAAUGGAUGGGCCAUGUAAGCGGCCAGACCCGAAAAUAAACCAUUCAUUCAUUCAUUUAUAUGGGCCUCUAAAUAGUAACAG